AGUAUGUUCUUUUCCGCGAAAAGGGAGAGAGAAUCAACCCCAAACCCUCUCCUUGUCCAUCAAUAGAGAAGAAUCAAAAUUCAAACCCCUUAAUUCUCCCUAUGUGGGCAGCAACUUAGAAGGAGAAGAAGUAAUUAGAGAUGAAGAGAAGUCACGAGAAUGGAAGCUUGGAAUUGUAGAGAUCAAAGUCAAUUUGGAAAUUUCAUCAAUCUCUUCUUAAGAGAGCCUAAGGUAUAGAAGUGCACAUUGGAUGAUUGAGGAGUAUUUAUAGCUCGUCAUCCAUCCAUGUCUCAGUCCGAAUCGGAUCACGU
rnacentral:lncRNA from 1 species